rnacentral:rRNA from 1 species
GCUCAACCGGGGAAGUGCUUCGAAAACUGGUAAACUUGAGUGCAGAAGAGGAAAGUGGAACUCCAUGUGUAGCGGUGGAAUGCGUAGAUAUAUGGAAGAACACCAGUGGCGAAGGCGGCUUUCUGGUCUGUAACUGACGCUGAGAUUCGAAAGCAUGGGUAGCAAACAGGAUUAGAUACCCUGGUAGUCCAUGCCGUAAACGAUGAGUGCUAAGUGUUGGAGGGUUUCCGCCCUUCAGUGCUGCAGCUAACGCAUUAAGCACUCCGCCUGGGGAGUACGAUCGCAAGAUUGAAACUCAAAGGAAUUGACGGGGGCCCGCACAAGCGGUGGAGCAUGUGGUUUAAUUCGAAGCAACGUGAAGAACCUUACCAGGUCUUGACAUACCAUGAAAAGCUAAGAGAUUAGUCUUUCCCUUCGGGGACAUGGAUACAGGUGGUGCAUGGUUGUCGUCAGCUCGUGUCGUGAGAUGUUGGGUUAAGUCCCGCAACGAGCGCAACCCUUAUUAUCAGUUGCCAGCAUUCAGUUGGGCACUCUGGUGAGACUGCCGGUGACAAACCGGAGGAAGGUGGGGACGACGUCAAAUCAUCAUGCCCCUUAUGACCUGGGCUACACACGUGCUACAAUGGUCGGUACAACG